CGGGCGUUAAGUUGCAGGGUAUAGACCCGAAACCCGGUGAUCUAGCCAUGGGCAGGUUGAAGGUUGGGUAACACUAACUGGAGGACCGAACCGACUAAUGUUGAAAAAUUAGCGGAUGACCUGUGGCUGGGGGUGAAAGGCCAAUCAAACCGGGAGAUAGCUGGUUCUCCCCGAAAGCUAUUUAGGUAGCGCCUCGUGAAUUCAUCUCCGGGGGUAGAGCACUGUUUCGGCUAGGGGGCCAUCCCGGCUUACCAACCCGAUGCAAACUGCGAAUACCGGAGAAUGUUAUCACGGGAGACACACGGCGGGUGCUAACGUCCGUCGUGAAGAGGGAAACAACCCAGACCGCCAGCUAAGGUCCCAAAGUCAUGGUUAAGUGGGAAACGAUGUGGGAAGGCCCAGACAGCCAGGAUGUUGGCUUAGAAGCAGCCAUCAUUUAAAGAAAGCGUAAUAGCUCACUGGUCGAGUCGGCCUGCGCGGAAGAUGUAACGGGGCUAAACCAUGCACCGAAGCUGC
rnacentral:rRNA from 1 species